AAGUCUGAUUGUCGGAUCUCCGUAGUUUCGAUCAUUUUAUCCUAUCUCCAACAAAGCGAUAAAUGCAUCUUAACUGCGGUGAUCUGAAUUCUUGGACA
rnacentral:pre_miRNA from 14 species